AUGCACGAUUAUAUGUUAAUUUUUAAAAUGGGUUGUGGUGUCCCGUGUUUGUUAAAUCAUCAUAUGUUAUUGACAGUAUAUACUUUUCUUUCUUUUCUACCAAACAUGUGUGCUAUGACAUUUUGUAAAAUGUGUUUUCUAAAUGUUGUUAAGUUUCUUGAUUUCUCCAUCUCCACCCCCUACGGCCUUGUUGAACUAACUGAUAUAUGCAAAUUAAGUGCCACAGAUCAGUUGCAAGUGUUCAUGCAUCAUCCUUGUCAAUUUCUCCCAGAGAGCGAGUGUUUACAAGUCCAGUGCUUAUGUCAGUUAUUAAUUAGUGAAGAUUUUGAUCUGAUGUAG
rnacentral:rRNA from 1 species